ACGGGCUUCGGCCUGGUGGCGAGUGGCGAACGGGUGAGUAAUAUAUCGGAACGUACCCAAGAGUGGGGGAUAACGUAGCGAAAGUUACGCUAAUACCGCAUACGAUCUAAGGAUGAAAGCAGGGGACCGCAAGGCCUUGUGCUCCUGGAGCGGCCGAUAUCUGAUUAGCUAGUUGGUGAGGUAAAGGCUCACCAAGGCCACGAUCAGUAGCUGGUCUGAGAGGACGACCAGCCACACUGGAACUGAGACACGGUCCAGACUCCUACGGGAGGCAGCAGUGGGGAAUUUUGGACAAUGGGCGCAAGCCUGAUCCAGCAAUGCCGCGUGAGUGAAGAAGGCCUUCGGGUUGUAAAGCUCUUUUGUCAGGGAAGAAACGGUAGAGGCUAAUAUCCUUUGCUAAUGACGGUACCUGAAGAAUAAGCACCGG
rnacentral:rRNA from 1 species